AUGCCACCGAAGCGCCCCAUCGGAGGGAGUGGCGACGCCGGGGCUGCUGAAGCACCAGAGCACGAUGUGAAUAUGGAGAUAGUGGUUCCUGUCCCCGCCGACAAGGUGGAGAACGAGGCUCACAACAAGUGGAGACGGAUCGAGAAAGAACCGCAAGCGACUCCAACAGGCCUAGACUUCAUCAACAACCUCCCCGAUGAUAUGUUGAUAGUCCUCAUAUCCCUCCUCCCAAUUAGAAAUCGGGCGAGGACAGCCGCCGUUUCCCGGCGGUGGCGCACCCUAUGGCUCCGCACCCCUGCCAGGCAAAGCAUCAACGUCCCAUCAAUCAAUCCAUGCAUCAAUUAUUUAAUGCUAAUAUCCAUCCAUGUUGCUGUUAGCCUCGUGGCCACACGACCAGGCACGACCAGGCGUUCGAAAUCGGUCGCCUAG
rnacentral:rRNA from 1 species